UAAGAUAGGGAAGCUAAAAGCAGACUCGGG
rnacentral:piRNA from 2 species